rnacentral:RNase_P_RNA from 1 species
AAUGCAGGUUGUUCUAUCGCUAUGAAGUAAAAUUCAUAGAGGAAAGUCCGGGCAACACAGGGAGAUCCGCCGCGUGAAAACGUGGGUAUCCGGCACAAUAUGCAGGAUAACAGAAAGUGCCACAGAGACCAGGUAGCCUCGGGGAAACCCGCGGUGAUAGUGAAAAUGUGAGGUAAGAGCUCACAUGUGUUGUUAGUGAUAGCAGCAUAUGGUAAACCUCGGAUGUUGAAAGGCCAAAUAGGUUUCGGUUUUAGAGUGUCCCGCUCUAUUCGCUUCGGCGAUAACCGAAAUGGGUAGGUCGCUUAGAUAAAUGAUAGAUAUACCUCUUCGCUUGCGAAGAGAAGAAACAGAACCCGGCUUAUAAACCUGCAUAUUUA